rnacentral:rRNA from 1 species
CCUACGGGAGGCUGCAGUGAGGAAUAUUGGUCAAUGGCCGUAAGGCUGAACCAGCCAAGUCACGUGAAGGAAGAAGGAUCUAUGGUUUGUAAACUUCUUUUAUAGGGGAAUAAAGGUAUCCACGUGUGGAUAUUUGCCUGUACCCUAUGAAUCAGCAUCGGCUAACUCCGUGCCAGCAGCCGCGGUAAUACGGAGGAUGCGAGCGUUAUCCGGGUUUAUUGGGUUUAAAGGGUGCGAAGGUUGUUGUUUAAGUUAGCGGGGAAAGUUUGUGGCUAAACUCCAACCAGCCGUUGAGACUGGGGAUCUAGAGUGUGCGUGAGGUAUGCGGAAUGCGUGGUGUAGCGGUGAAAUGCAUAGAUAUCACGCAGAACACCGAUUGCGAAGGCAGCAUACCGGUGCACAACUGACGCUCAGGCACGAAAGCGUGGGUAUCGAACAGGAUUAGAUACCCUUGUAGUC